rnacentral:rRNA from 1 species
GACGAACGCUGGCGGCGUGCUUAACACAUGCAAGUCGAACGGAAGGGCCCUGCUUUUGUGGGGUGCUCGAGUGGCGAACGGGUGAGUAACACGUGAGUAACCUGCCCUUGACUUUGGGAUAACUUCAGGAAACUGGGGCUAAUACCGGAUAGGAGCUCCUGCUGCAUGGUGGGGGUUGGAAAGUUUCGGCGGUUGGGGAUGGACUCGCGGCUUAUCAGCUUGUUGGUGGGGUAGUGGCUUACCAAGGCUUUGACGGGUAGCCGGCAUGGGAGGGUGACCGGGCACAAUAGGACUAAGGGACGGACCAGACGCGUACGGGAGGCAGCAGUGGGAAAUAUUGCACAGUGGGCGGGAGCCUGAGACGACGGCGCCGCGUGCGGGAUGACGGCUUUCGGGUUAUGAACCGCUUUCGCCUGAGACGAGGCGGGAGUGACGGUAAUGGAUAAAGAAGCACCGGCUAACUACGUG